GGGAGGUAUUGCCAUGGGCGCAGCCUGAUGCAGCCAUGCCGCGUGUGUGAAGAAGGCCUUCGGGUUGUAAAGCACUUUCAGUCGUGAGGAAGGUAGUGUAGUUAAUAGCUGCAUUAUUUGACGUUAGCGACAGAAGAAGCACCGGCUAACUCCGUGCCAGCAGCCGCGGUAAUACGGAGGGUGCGAGCGUUAAUCGGAAUUACUGGGCGUAAAGCGCAUGCAGGUGGUUUGUUAAGUCAGAUGUGAAAGCCCGGGGCUCAACCUCGGAAUAGCAUUUGAAACUGGCAGACUAGAGUACUGUAGAGGGGGGUAGAAUUUCAGGUGUAGCGGUGAAAUGCGUAGAGAUCUGAAGGAAUACCGGUGGCGAAGGCGGCCCCCUGGACAGAUACUGACACUCAGAUGCGAAAGCGUGGGGAGCAAACAGGAUUAGAUACCCUGGUAGUCCACGCCGUAAACGAUGUCUACUUGGAGGUUGUGGCCUUGAGCCGUGGCUUUCGGAGCUAACGCGUUAAGUAGACCGCCUGGGGAGUACGGUCGCAAGAUUAAAACUCAAAUGAAUUGACGGGGGCCCGCACAAGCGGUGGAGCAUGUGGUUUAAUUCGAUGCAACGCGAAGAACCUUACCUACUCUUGACAUCCAGAGAACUUUCCAGAGAUGGAUUGGUGCCUUCGGGAACUCUGAGACAGGUGCUGCAUGGCUGUCGUCAGCUCGUGUUGUGAAAUGUUGGGUUAAGUCCCGCAACGAGCGCAACCCUUAUCCUUGUUUGCCAGCGAGUAAUGUCGGGAACUCCAGGGAGACUGCCGGUGAUAAACCGGAGGAAGGUGGGGACGACGUCAAGUCAUCAUGGCCCUUACGAGUAGGGCUACACACGUGCUACAAUGGCGCAUACAGAGGGCGGCCAACUUGCGAAAGUGAGCGAAUCCCAAAAAGUGCGUCGUAGUCCGGAUUGGAGUCUGCAACUCGACUCCAUGAAGUCGGAAUCGCUAGUAAUCGUGGAUCAGAUGCCACGGUGAUACGUUCCCGGGCCUUGUACACACCGCUCGUCACACCAUGGGAGUGGGCUGCAAAAGAGUAGUAGUUUAACCUUCGGGGGACGCUUACCACUUUGUGGUCAUGACUGGGGGUGAGUCACCA
rnacentral:rRNA from 1 species